AAGCGAACGCUGGCGGCGUGCUUAACACAUGCAAGUCGAGUGCGCGGCUGUAGCAAUACAGCGGGCGCACGGCGCACGGGUGCGUAACACGUGGGCAAUCUGCCCUCGGAUGGGGGAUAACCCGCCGAAAGGCGGGCUAAUACCGCAUGAUAUUCCUGGGACCCCGGUCCCGGGAUUCAAAGGCCGCAAGGCCGUCGGAGGAGGAGCCCGCGCCCGAUUAGCUUGUUGGCGAGGUAACGGCUCACCAAGGCAAUGAUCGGUAGCCGGUCUGAGAGGAUGGCCGGCCACACUGGAACUGAGACACGGUCCAGACUCCUACGGGAGGCAGCAGUGGGGAAUAUUGCGCAAUGGGCGAAAGCCUGACGCAGCGACGCCGCGUGGGGGAUGAAGCUUCUCGGAGUGUAAACCCCUUUCGACCCGGACGAACGGCCCGCAAGGGGCGUGACGGUACGGGUAUAAGAAGCCCCGGCUAACUACGUGCCAGCAGCCGCGGUAAUACGUA
rnacentral:rRNA from 1 species